UACGAAGGGGGGCGAGCGUUUGUUCGGAUUUACUGGGCGUAAAGGGCGCGCAGGCGGCUAGUUUUGUCGAGUGUGAAAGCCCCGGGCUUAACCUGGGAACUGCGCUCGAAACGGGCUGGCUAGAGAUCGGGAGAGGAGAGUGGAAUUCCCAGUGUAGAGGUGAAAUUCGUAGAUAUUGGGAAGAACACCGGUGGCGAAGGCGGCUCUCUGGGACCGUAACUGACGGCUGAGGAGCGAAAAGCGUGGGGAGCGAACAGG
rnacentral:rRNA from 1 species